rnacentral:lncRNA from 1 species
GACUCCACUCCCCUGAUGCUGCCACCGUUCUUGGUGGUCAUCCCGUGCUACUGGCAUCUCUAACACUGCUUGGAUCUUCUGCUGCAACUGGCCUGCAGUUUUACCAGUAGCUUCUCAUAGGCUCUCUUCAUGGUGCCAAGCCUCAGCUUUCUUGCAUGGAUCCUUCUGUCCUGGGCCUUCAACUGCUACUGUGGCUGCACCUUCAGCAGUGGCCUUUCCUGGACUCUCACAGUGCCAAGCCUCAGCUGCUCUCCCUGACCCCUUCAUGCCUUCAAAAUCAGUACCACCGGGGUUGGGGAUUUAGCUCAGCGGUAGAGCACUUGCCUAGCAAGCGCAAGGCCCUGGGUUCGGUCCCCAGCUCCGAAAAAAAGAAAAAAGAAAAAAAA